UGAGGAAUUUUCCGCAAUGGGCGAAAGCCUGACGGAGCAAUGCCGCGUGGAGGACGAAGGCCUGUGGGUUGUAAACUCCUUUUCUCAGAGAAGAAUUUUGACGGUAUUUGAGGAAUAAGCAUCGGCUAACUCCGUGCCAGCAGCCGCGGUAAUACGGAGGAUGCAAGCGUUAUCCGGAAUGAUUGGGCGUAAAGCGUCUGUAGGUGGGUUGUGAAGUCUUCUGUUAAAGAUCAGGGCUUAACCCUGUUUAGGCAGUGGAAACUCAUAACCUAGAGUACGGUAGGGGCAGAGGGAAUUCCCGGUGUAGCGGUGAAAUGCGUAGAUAUCGGGAAGAACACCGACGGCGAAAGCACUCUGCUGGGCCGAAACUGACACUGAGAGACGAAAGCUAGGGGAGCGAAAA
rnacentral:rRNA from 1 species